CCUAAGGCCCUUUUCAGGGCCACCACCUUUUCCUUUGAAGAGCUGU
rfam:Sarcophilus harrisii ctg7180002454288, whole genome shotgun sequence.